UAACUAGUCCCUCCGCCCGGAAAUACUCGUCGAAGUAAUGGAUGUAUCUAGACGUAUUUUAGUCUAGAUACAUCUAUUUUUAUCAAUUUCUCCGACAAGUAUUUUCGGACGGAGGGAGUAUUAC
rfam:Triticum urartu cultivar G1812 contig972336, whole genome shotgun sequence.